GGGCCUGUAGCUCAAGGGGCUAGAGCGCCAGCCACAUACACCAGAGCCGGCAGGUUCAAAUCCAGCCUGGCCCG
rnacentral:tRNA from 1 species